rnacentral:rRNA from 1 species
CCAAUAGCGUAUAUUAAAGUUGUUGCAGUUAAAAAGCUCGUAGUUGAAUUUCGGGAUUAAUAUGUUGGUCGUGCCUUGGUACGUACUGGCAUUAUUGGUUCCUACCUUCUGAAGAACCUCGAUGUCAUUAAUUUGGUGUCUUGGGGAAUCAGGACUGUUACUUUGAAAAAAUUAGAGUGUUUAAAGCAGGCUCGCGCUUGAAUACAUUAGCAUGGAAUAAUGAAAUAGGACGUUUGAUUCUAUUUUGUUGGUUUCUAGGAUCGACGUAAUGAUUAAUAGGGAUAGUUGGGGGCAUUAGUAUUCAAUUGUCAGAGGUGAAAUUCUUGGAUUUAUUGAAGACUGACUACUGCGAAAGCAUUUGCCAAGGAUGUUUUCAUUAAUCAAGAACGAAAGUUAGGGGAUCGAAGACGAUCAGAUACCGUCGUAGUCUUAACCAUAAACUAUGCCGACUAGGGAUCGGAUGAUGUUGCUCUAAGGACUCCGCCAGCACCUUCUG